CACCACGUGGCUUAACCUUAACAGAAGACUACAGGGGCUUACAGAGAAGGGAGAGACUGAGGGCGUGUGAGACUCAGGAAUGGAGGGCAAAAAGGGCGCCUGAAGAAGUUUCAUUCAUGCAUCAAACUGCUCACAGGAGCCUGGGCUAGGUUCUAAGGACACACAGACAGUGCUCACACCCUGCUUGUAAGGCUGGGCUUGGGAGCAGACUGGAAGGCCGGAGGCUCCAUCAAGUCCAGGCUUUCCCUCAGGGCCCUGAGGAACAUCAAGGACAAUCAGCCCACAACAUCUCUGAGAAGAAUCAAAUAUGAACCCUCUUUGGAAAAGGAGGCCAGGGCUGGGAAGACCAAGUGGGUGAGGCCAGUGGGUCCAAAGCCUUGUGUCAGCCCAUAGCAGAACACCUGUCCUGGCCCCAGUUCAGCCUCGGCCGGCUAUGCAUCUGUGGACGAGGGUCCUUCACUCUCUGGGUUGCAUUUUCUCUUCUGUGGGGAGUCGGGGGCAGGGCUGGAUGAGGUAGUUUCUGGGGGCCUCCCACCCCAGGCCCAGCACUGGUGCUCUACGAUUCCAAGAUUCUAUGGGAGCCUGCAUUUCCUAUACUAAGAUAAAGCAGCGAAACAAUGUGUAGGGUGAUGUUUUUCUUGGCUGCUGCUUUUUUUAAAAAAUAAAUUUUAUUUUUUUAUUUA